rnacentral:rRNA from 1 species
UCCUACGGGGGGCAGCAGUGGGGAAUAUUGGGCAAUGGGCGCAAGCCUGACCCAGCAACGCCGCGUGAAGGAAGAAGGCCCUCGGGUUGUAAACUUCUUUUAUCAAGGACGAAACAAAUGACGGUACUUGAUGAAUAAGCCACGGCUAACUACGUGCCAGCAGCCGCGGUAAUACGUAGGUGGCAAGCGUUAUCCGGAUUUACUGGGUGUAAAGGGCGUGUAGGCGGGAAUGCAAGUCAGAUGUGAAAA